rnacentral:rRNA from 1 species
AGAGUUUGAUCAUGGCUCAGAACGAACGCUGGCGGCAGGCCUAACACAUGCAAGUCGAACGGAUGUAGCAAUACAUUAGUGGCGCACGGGUGCGUAACACGUGGGAAUAUACCCUUGAGUAAGGAAUAAUGUCUGGAAACGGACACUAAUACCUUAUAAUGACUUCGGUCCAAAGAUUUAUCGCUCAAGGAUUAGCCCGCGUCAGAUUAGCUAGUUGGUGAGGUAAUGGCUCACCAAGGCGACGAUCUGUAGGGGGUCUGAGAGGAUGAUCCCCCACACUGGUACUGAGACACGGACCAGACUCCUACGGGAGGCAGCAGUGAGGAAUAUUGGACAAUGGAGGAAACUCUGAUCCAGCCAUGCCGCGUGAGUGAAGAAGGCCUUCGGGUUGUAAAGCUCUUUUAGAUGUGAAGAUUAUGACGGUAGCAUCAGAAAAAGCCCCGGCUAAAUUCGUGCCAGCCGCCGCGGUAAUAC